rnacentral:rRNA from 1 species
CCCCUAGAUGUUCUGGGCCGCACGCGCGCUACACUGAACAGUUCAACAAGUCUUAACCUUGGCCGAUAGGUCUGGGUAAUCUUUGAACGCUGUUCGUGAUUGGGAUAGACCUUUGCAAUUAUGGGUCUUCAACGAGGAAUUCCUAGUAAACGCAAGUCAUCAGCUUGCAUUGAUUACGUCCCUGCCCUUUGUACACACCGCCCGUCGCUCCUACCGAUUGAAUGGUCCGGUGAAGCCUCCGGAUUGGCGCGCACCUCGGUGCCGCCGAGAAGUUGGCUAAACCUUACCAUUUAGAGGAAGGUGAAGUCGUANCA